GUUAUACUGGCUUCUUUAUGCGUGAUGGCUUCAUUGUGAGAAGGCAACACAGUCAGCUUGCAGAGCUCUGUCACCUCAGCUGACCCAGCAACAGCACCAUGAGAGCAGUGAAAGACUUAAGAUAGUUUGCUGUUCUCUCUGUGUGGGCCUGUGUUCAGAACCUCUUACUAACGUACUGUUCAUACUAUGAACAUACUAUGAAAAUGCCCAGAGAAAUGCCCAGAUGUACACUAGACAGAAUUUCUGAGUAUGUGCCGUGAGCUUACUGGACAUGCUUAACUGCCCCAUAAUGCAUUGUGUCUCUUCAGACCCGGCCAUCAGUGAAUCUCCCCAAAUCUCCAAAACCGUUGCAGCAGAUUUACAAACAAGGUGUUUGUUAGACAAACUGACUACAUGUUGGAAGUCUGCAUGGUUUUCCUUCUUGCCUGAAAAAAAAAAUUAACUUAAUAAAGUGACAUAUUAAAGUCCUGUAAGCAAAUAUGCCUACAGCUUUCAGCCUGCUUUAAAAUCCCCACCAAUUGUCGCUGUCGCUGCUAGUUGGUGUAAAAUGCAUUGUGGGAUACGUUCUGUUUCCUUCAAUGUGAACAGUCAGCUUGGUAAUGGCAUAUUUAAUCGCCCAAUUAGUAGGUAGUAUGCAGUACAUAGUCACUGAGUAUGUAGUAGGCAGUACUUUAGUAGGUGGUUCAGAACAGAGUGUGUGUCUGUGCUGGUGUGGGCGUUGCUUCCUGCUCCUGGCUCCCUGAUUACCUGCACACCUGCCAUCCAUCAGCUCAUCACCUGCAGCAUGCCUACCUCAGCUCUCCAUCCAGUCUUCACCAGAUUGUUGUUUCAAACACACUGGAUCAUCACUCACCUGCCUGUCUGCCAGCUGUCCCCAAGCGUCAAGCCAACCUCCACCAGCCAGGCUUUCCCCACUGCCCUUCCUCGUUCCCACUUCC